rnacentral:rRNA from 1 species
UCGACGGGAGGACUGGGAAGCUUGCUUCCUAUGAAAUCGAGUGGCAAACGGGUGAGUAACGCGUAAACAACCUGCCCUUCGGAUGGGGAUAACAGCCGGAAACGGCUGCUAAUACCGAAUACGAUCUUUUCGUCGCAUGACGGAAAGAAGAAAGGAUGGCCUCUAUACAAAGCUAUCGCCGAAGGAGGGGUUUGCGUCUGAUUAGCUGGUUGGAGGGGUAACGGCCCAACAAGGCGAUGAUCAGUAGCCGGUCUGAGAGGAUGAACGGCCACAUUGGGACUGAGACACGGCCCAGACUCCUACGGGAGGCAGCAGUGGGGAAUCUUCCGCAAUGGACGAAAGUCUGACGGAGCAACGCCGCGUGAGUGAAGAAGGUCUUCGGAUUGUAAAGCUCUGUUAUACGGGACGAAAAAGACGGAUGCCAACAGUAUCCGUCCGUGACGGUACCGUAAGAGAAAGCCACGGCUAACUACGUGCCAGCAGCCGCGGUAAUACGUAGGUGGCAAGCGUUGUCCGGAAUUAUUGGGCGUAAAGGGCGCGCAGGCGGUUCGGUAAGUCUGUCUUAAAAGUGCGGGGCUUAACCCCGUGAGGGGACGGAAACUGUCGAACUUGAGUGUCGGAGAGGAAAGCGGAAUUCCUAGUGUAGCGGUGAAAUGCGUAGAUAUUAGGAGGAACACCGGUGGCGAAAGCGGCUUUCUGGACGACAACUGACGCUG